UUUUCCUCCGGGAAAAGAAACGGGAAGUGGUCGUGGGCAGGUGAAUUCCGUGUAGUGGCCAAGGGAGUGGGGCCGGCCAGCAGAAACAGUGGGCUGUACAACAUCACCUUCAAAUAUGACAAUUGUACCACCUACUUGAAUCCAGUGGGGAAGCACGUGAUUGCUGACGCCCAGAAUAUCACCAUCAGCCAGUAUGCUUGCCAUGACCAAGUGGCAGUCACCAUUCUUUGGUCCCCAGGGGCCCUCGGCAUCGAAUUCCUGAAAGGAUUUCGGGUAAUACUGGAGGAGCUGAAGUCAGAGGGAAGACAGUGCCAACAACUGAUUCUAAAGGAUCCGAAGCAGCUCAACAGUAGUUUCAAAAGAACUGGAAUAGAAUCUCAACCUUUCCUGAAUAUGAAAUUUGAGACGGAUUAUUUCGUAAAGGUUGUCCCCUUUCCUUCCAUUAAAAACGAAAGCAAUUACCACCCUUUCUUCUUUAGAACCCGAGCAUGUGACCUGUUGUUACAGCCAGACAACCUGGCUUGUAAACCCUUCUGGAAGCCUCGGAACCUGAACAUCAGCCAGCAUGGCUCGGACAUGCAGGUGUCCUUCGACCAUGCACCGCACAACUUCGGCUUCCGUUUCUUCUAUCUUCACUACAAGCUCAAGCACGAAGGACCUUUCAAGCGAAAGACCUGUAAGCAGGAGCAAAAUACAGAGACGACCAGCUGCCUCCUUCAAAAUGUUUCUCCAGGGGAUUAUAUAAUUGAGCUGGUGGAUGACACUAACACAACAAGAAAAGUGAUGCAUUAUGCCUUAAAGCCAGUGCACUCCCCGUGGGCCGGGCCCAUCAGAGCUGUGGCCAUCACAGUGCCACUGGUGGUCAUAUCGGCAUUCGCGACGCUCUUCACUGUGAUGUGCCGCAAGAAGCAACAAGAAAAUAUAUAUUCACAUUUAGAUGAAGAGAGCUCUGAGUCUUCCACAUACACUGCAGCACUCCCGAGAGAGGGGCUCCGGCCGCGGCCGAAGGUCUUUCUCUGCUAUUCCAGUAAAGAUGGCCAGAAUCACAUGAAUGUCGUCCAGUGUUUCGCCUACUUCCUCCAGGACUUCUGUGGCUGUGAGGUGGCUCUGGACCUGUGGGAAGACUUCAGCCUCUGUAGAGAAGGGCAGAGAGAAUGGGUCAUCCAGAAGAUCCACGAGUCCCAGUUCAUCAUUGUGGUUUGUUCCAAAGGUAUGAAGUACUUUGUGGAUAAGAAGGACUACAAACACAAAGGAGGUGGCCGAGGCUCGGGGAAAGGAGAGCUCUUCCUGGUGGCAGUGUCAGCCAUUGCCGAAAAGCUCCGCCAGGCCAAGCAGAGUUCGUCCGCGGCGCUCAGCAAGUUCAUCGCCGUCUACUUUGAUUAUUCCUGCGAGGGAGACGUCCCCGGUAUCCUAGACCUGAGUACCAAGUACAAACUCAUGGACAAUCUUCCCCAGCUCUGUUCCCACCUGCACUCCCGAGACCACGGCCUCCAGGAGCCGGGGCAGCACACGCGACAGGGCAGCAGAAGGAACUACUUCCGGAGCAAGUCAGGCCGGUCCCUAUACGUCGCCAUUUGUAACAUGCACCAGUUUAUUGACGAGGAGCCCGACUGGUUCGAAAAGCAGUUCGUUCCCUUCCAUCCUCCUCCACUGCGCUACCGGGAGCCAGUCUUGGAGAAAUUUGAUUCGGGCUUAGUUUUAAAUGAUGUCAUGUGCAAACCAGGGCCCGAGAGUGACUUCUGCCUAAAGGUAGAGGCGGCUGUUCUUGGGGCAACCGGACCAGCCGACUCCCAGCAUGAGAGUCAGCACGGGGGCCUGGACCAGGACGCGGAGGCCCGGCCUGCCCUUGACAGUAGCGCCGCCCUGCAACCCCUGCUGCACACGGUGAAAGCCGGCAGCCCCUCGGACAUGCCGCGGGACUCAGGCAUCUACGACUCGUCUGUGCCCUCAUCCGAGCUGUCUCUGCCACUGAUGGAAGGACUCUCGACGGACCAGACAGAAACGUCUUCCCUCACGGAGAGCGUGUCCUCCUCUUCAGGCCUGGGUAAGGUGCCUUUGGGGCCGGGUCCUGACAGGCCGCAGCCUUUGACCAUGCUUCUGAAAUCAGUCAAAGCGUUUUUCCACUUUUGGUGCCAACUCAUUGGGCAAUGAAACCUGAUGAGAACAC
rnacentral:sRNA from 1 species